AUUUUCCGUGGGUUAGAUGGUUUGACUGGAGAUGGUAAGUCAGAGAGUUGCACCAGGUUCCAGUCUGUUUUGGCUUGAUUUCUAUAGCUAGAUACCCUUCCCAACACCAACCACUU